UUAUAGAAUAAGUUUCUCAAAAUUUUAGGUUUUAUUUAUUUUUUAGUUAAAAUAUAUGCAAAUGUUAAUAUAAUACGAGUAUGCAAAUGAAGUUAAAAUUGCUUGGCGAUUACUAAGAUCUCACUUUGCAAAAAACAGCGACUAUACACACACUUAAUAUGCAAUAUAAAUCUUUAAAAUGUUAAAUUAUUUUGACGCCUUAAGGUGUAAGACUAUUUAAGAAAAUUAAAAGUUCGAAAUUGGUUAAUUAAUCUGAUAUUCAUUAGAAAUUCAAGUGCGAUAUGAGAGACACUAAUGACAUUCAAAAUUAAGCUCUUUAUGUUUACUUAAUGUGUUAUUUGUUUCCUGUUUCCUAGAGUG